rnacentral:rRNA from 1 species
GUUUUAUUGAAUUUAAAAUGAUAAAUUUAUUCUGCCCAUUGAGAUUAAAUUUGAAAGGCUGCAGUAUGUUAACUGUACAAAGGUAGCAUAAUCAAUAGUUUUUUAAUUGAAAACUUGAAUGAAUGAAUUGAUAAAAUAUUAAUUGUCUCGAAUUUAUUAAAUUGAAAUUAAAAAAAAAGUUAAAAUUCUUUUAUAAAUUUAUAAGACGAUAAGACCCUAAGAAUUUUAUAACUAAUUUUAUUGAUUAGGUAAAUUAUUUUUGUUAAAAAUUUAAUUUAGUUAUUUUAUUGGGAAGGUAAUUAAAAUUUGUACUUUAAUUUUUUAUAAACUUUGAUAAAUGAAUAUUUAAUGAAUAUUGUUAUAAUUAAAAGAAAUAAUUACCUUAGGGAUAACAGCGUAAUAAUUUUGGAAAGUUCAUAUUGAUAAAAUUGUUUGCGACCUCGAUGUUGAAUUAAAAUAAAAAUUAAAUGGAGAAGUUUAUAAUUUUAGUCUGUUCGACUAUUAAAAUUUUACA